UUGGUCAAUGGACGCAAGUCUGAACCAGCCAUGACGCGUGAAGGAUUAAGGCCCUCUGGGUUGUAAACUUCUUUUAUAGGGGAAGAAAUGUGACGGUUCUCCGUCACUUAACGGUACCCUGGGAAUAAGCACCGGCUAACUCCGUGCCAGCAGCCGCGGUAAUACGGAGGGUGCAAGCGUUAUCCGGAUUCACUGGGUUUAAAGGGUGCGUAGGUGGGCAGAUAAGUCAGUGGUGAAAUCUUCCGGCUUAACUGGGAAACUGCCGUCGNUACUAUUUGUCUUGAAUAUGGCGGAGGUAAGCGGAAUAUGUCAUGUAGCGGUGAAAUGCUUAGAUAUGACAUAGAACACCAAUUGCGAAGGCAGCUUACUACACAAUCAUUGACACUGAGGCACGAAAGCGUGGGUAGCGAACA
rnacentral:rRNA from 1 species